rnacentral:rRNA from 1 species
AUUGAACGCUGGCGGCAUGCUUUACACAUGCAAGUCGAACGGUAACAGGCCGCAAGGUGCUGACGAGUGGCGAACGGGUGAGUAAUGCAUCGGAACGUGCCCAGUCGUGGGGGAUAACGCAGCGAAAGCUGCGCUAAUACCGCAUGCGAUCUAUGGAUGAAAGCGGGGGACCGAAAGGCCUCGCGCGAUUGGAGCGGCCGAUGUCAGGUUAGGUAGUUGGUGGGGUAAAGGCCCACCAAUCCAACGAUCUGUAGCUGGUCUGAGAGGACGACCAGCCACACUGGGACUGAGGCACGGCCCGGACUCCUACGGUAGGCAGCAGUGGGGAAUUUUGGACAAUGGGCGCAAGCCUGAUCCAGCAAUGCCGCGUGCAGGAAGAAGGCCUUCGGGUUGUAAACUGCUUUUGUACGGAACGAAACGGUCCGGGUUAAUACCCUGGGCUAAUGACGGUACCGUAAGAAUAAGCACCGGCUAACUACGUGCCAGCCGCCGCCGUAACAC